GGGCUCAGUUUGGCAGCUGCUGUACUAACAGUGGAACGAUCCAGAGAUUAGCAUGGCCUCUGGACCAGGAUGCCAGGCAAAUUCAUGAAGCGUCCCAUUGAGAA
ensembl:snRNA U6 U6 spliceosomal RNA